rnacentral:rRNA from 1 species
GACGAACGCUGGCGGCGCGCUUAACACAUGCAAGUCGAGCGAUGAAGCACCUUCGGGUGUGGAUUAGCGGCGAACGGGUGAGGAACACGUAAGGAAUCUGCCUUUCACUUCGGGAUAGCUCCGGGAAACCGGGGCUAAUACCGGAUAUUUUCAACUGGCGGCAUCGCCGGUUGAAGAAAGUUUUUCGGUGAAAGAUGACCUCGCGGCCUAUCAGCUUGUUGGUGAGGUAAUGGCUCACCAAGGCGACGACGGGUAGCCGGCCUGAGAGGGCGACCGGCCACACUGGGACUGAGACACGGCCCAGACUCCUACGGGAGGCAGCAGUGGGGAAUAUUGGGCAAUGGAGGAAACUCUAACCCAGCGACGCCGCGUGAGGGAUGAAGGCCUUCGGGUUGUAAACCUCUUUCAGCAGGGAAUAAGCGAAAGUGAAGGUACCUGCAGAAGAAGCACCGGCUAACUAUGUGCCAGCCGCCGCCGUAA